GUGCUCGCUUCGGCAGCACAUAUACUGAAAUUGGAAGGAUACAGAGAAGAUUAGCGUGGCCCCU
ensembl:snRNA U6 U6 spliceosomal RNA